AAAAUAAUCCUACCCUUUGUGAAUUUUGUUUGUUUGAAUAAUUUUUUUUUUAAAAAAUUAUUGGAGUCUUUCCUUUAGAGUUUGCUUUUGAGUUUGUAAAAGAAUUCGAAAACAUCUAAAGGGGAUGGUCAAUAAUUUUUUUUGAAAAAAGACAUUUUUUAAAAUUAAACUUUUUGUAUUCAUUUGUCUAAAAAUUAUUUUUAUAAUAUAAAAACAACUUUUGACAAUGGAUCUCUUGGUUCUCGCAACGAUGAAGAACGCAGCAAAAUGCGAUAAGUAGUGUGAAUUGCAGAAUACGUGAAUCAUCGAAUCUUUGAACGCAUAUUGCACUUUUUUAGUUUACUAAAAAAGUAUGUCUGUUUGAGUAUCAGUAAAAUAUUCUCAUAAAAAUCAUUGUAUUUUUAUGGUUAUGAGUGUUUUACAACGAUACAAGUUGUUUCACUUUAAAUUUUUUUUUAAUAUUGAAAUUUUUCUAAUUUUAAUAAUUAAAAUUGGAUAAAAUUUUCCCGUCAAAAGGAAUAACCUAAACAAUUUUAAACGAUUAAUUUUAGCAAAAUUUUCGUAAAAAAGGAAAAUUUUUAUUAAAAUAACUUGAUCUCAAAUCAGAUAAGAGUACCCGCUGAACUUAAGCAUAUCAAUAAGCGGAGGAAAAGAACUAACAAGGAUUCCCUUAGUAACGGCGAGUGAAGCGGGAAGAGCUCAAAUUUGAAAUCUUCAAGGUUUACCUUGACGAAUUGUAGUUUAAAGAAGUGUUUUCUGCUGAAGUUUUGGUGAAAGUUCUUUGGAAUAGGACAUCAUAGAGGGUGAGAAUCCCGUAUUUGACCAUUAUUUUCAGCUUUGUGAUACACUUUCAAAGAGUCGGAUUGUUUGGGAAUGCAGUCCAAAAUGGGUGGUAAAUUUCAUCUAAAGCUAAAUAUUGGCGAGAGACCGAUAGCGAACAAGUACCAUGAGGGAAAGAUGAAAAGAACUUUGAAAAGAGAGUUAAACAGUACGUGAAAUUGUCAAAAGGGAAGCGUUUGACACCAAUGUUGUUUUCUCGAAAAUCAAUUAAAAAUGGCUCGAUUUUGUAUUGCUUGAGACCUUAAAAGCUCACUGUACAUUUUUCGUGUCUUUUUUAAUGCACUUUUCGUUUAACAAGUCAACAUCAGUUUCUUUUGUUGUAAAAGGGUCAUUGGAAGGUGGCUUUCUUUUCGGAGAAAGUGUUUAUAGCCUUUGGCCUCUGCAAUCGAAGAGACUGAGGUCUGCAGCGUAGACUCUUCGGGGUUAGAUACAUUUGUGCUAAGUUAUAGCUUUUUAUAGACAACUUGUUGACUAUAAUUAGUCUUGUAGCUUACUCGCUUAUGCUAUUUUACCUACGCUUAGGAUG
rnacentral:misc_RNA from 1 species